AUUGAACGCUGGCGGCAGGCCUAACACAUGCAAGUCGAGCGAGCGGCGGACGGGUGAGUAAUGUAUGGGGACUGCCCGAUAGAGGGGGAUAACUACUGGGAACGGUGGCUAAUACCGCAUACUGGCGGAUAACCCAUAUGGGGUUAGCUAGUAGGUAAGGUAAUGGCUUACCUAGGCGACGAUCCCUAGCUGGUCUGAGAGGAUGAUCAGCCACACUGGGACUGAGACACGGCCCAGACUCCGACGGAGGCAGCAGUGGGGAAUAUUGCACAAUGGGCGCAAGCCUGAUGCAGCCAUGCCGCGUGUAUGAAGAAGGCCUUAGGGUUGUAAAGUACUUUUAGUCGGGAGGCGUUACCGACAGAAGAAGCACCGGCUAACUCCGUGCCAGCAGCCGCGGUAAUAC
rnacentral:rRNA from 1 species